rnacentral:rRNA from 1 species
GGAAUAUUGGUCAAUGGUCGAGAGACUGAACCAGCCAAGUAGCGUGCAGGAUGACGGCCCUAUGGGUUGUAAACUGCUUUUAUACAGGGAUAAAGUCACCUACGUGUAGGUGUUUGCAGGUACUGUAUGAAUAAGGACCGGCUAAUUCCGUGCCAGCAGCCGCGGUAAUACGGAAGGUCCGGGCGUUAUCCGGAUUUAUUGGGUUUAAAGGGAGCGCAGGCGGGCUUUUAAGCGUGACGUGAAAUGUAGAUGCUCAACAUCUGCACUGCGGCGCGAACUGGGAGCCUUGAGUGCAGUCGACGUUGGCGGAAUUCGUGGUGUAGCGGUGAAAUGCUUAGAUAUCACGAAGAACUCCGAUUGCGAAGGCAGCCGACGAGAGUGUAACUGACGCUAAAGCUCGAAAGUGCGGGUAUCGAACA